UGAUCUUGGGCAAGUCAGCUAACCUCACUGUUCCUCCAUCUCUACAGCUGUAAAAUGUGAAUAAUGACAGUCACUCUCUCAGAACUGCUGAGAACACUCAAUCAGAUAACGUGGAAGAGGGCUGAGCCCGCAGCGCCUGGCAGAGUGAGCACACAAAUCAUUGCUGGUGAUUGUUGCUGCUCUGUGAGCUGAUAAGAUACAUUUUGCCAGGAGUUUUCUCACCCAGGCUCUGGAAUGCAGCUGCCCAGAGGAUGAUGGAAAUAUUGACAAACCCUCAUCUGUGCUGCUGGGAGCUCUAACACACUGGGAACAGGUGUGGUGAAGGCCAAAUAGAAGAUGUCCCAUCUCCCUGCUGUUGGUGGACACUGGGCAUCCUGAGACAAUGAAUGAGUGACCACACUCCACAGAGCCUCUCAGGUCGGGAGACACACACGAGUGGAUCUGGAUUUGGUUCGGAAGUGAGUUCCUCUCACUUCCCCUCGGAACUUUCGGGGAGCAGAGCAUCAGCCAUCAAACUGGCAAACUCACAGCGACAGGCUUCAAAUAGUCCCCAGUAUCACGUCUCCCCUCUGCGGUAACAGAAGCACUCUGCGCCGAGCUGCGCAAUGGCCACCCAGGUAAAAGACUACAUUUCCCAGGCUCCCCUGUGGCUAGGUUGGGUCCCAGUAUGAGAAAUGUCCAGUGGCAAUUUCCAGUAACUUUCCUUAAAAGAUACUUGAAAAAUGGCUUUCUUCCCUUUUCUCCCCACCUCCCACCCUUUCCCUCUAUUCUAAUGUCUGGACUGCAGUGAUUAUGGCCACCACUUGGGACCAUGAGAAUGGGGGCUACACCUUAGCGAUGGAAGGAAGAUGAGCUGAAUGCUACCUGGGACUCUGGGAAGUCUGGGGACCUAAGCUCCGAACCUGCCCUAGACUUCCCACCUCUGGGCGUACUU